CAAUUUUGUCAACGUUUAAAUUAUAGCAGUAUUCAAACUCUUAAAAUUGUGCAGACAAAAUUUUUUAGAAAAAAAGUUCUGCUGGUAGUAUGUCAAUUUGACAAGCAUGAAAUAUUGUCUUAAAAUUCACCAGAUGCCAGGAUUUUGAAUCUAGAUUUCAACAAAUUUUCGGGGGGCAAGCCCCCCGCAUCCCCCUUCUUUCCGGUGACCGCCUACUUAUUCAUUUUGGCCUCUUAAGCCAAAAUGAAUGGAAAAC
rnacentral:lncRNA from 1 species